rnacentral:rRNA from 1 species
GUAGGGAAUAUUGCACAAUGGAGGAAACUCUGAUGCAGCGACGCCGCGUGAGUGAUGAAGGCCUUCGGGUCGUAAAGCUCUGUCGCAGGGGAAUAACACAAUGAAGGUACCCUGUAAGAAAGGAUCGGCUAACUUCGUGCCAGCAGCCGCGGUAAGACGAGGGAUCCUAGCGUUGUUCGGAAUCAUUGGGCGUAAAGCGGAUGUAGGUGGCUAUGUAAGUCAGAUGUGAAAGCCUGGGGCUCAACCCCAGAAGUGCAUUUGAUACUGCGUAGCUUGAGUGUCGGAGAGGUUACUAGAAUUGGUGGUGUAGUGGUGAAAUACGUAGAUAUCAACAGGAAUACCGGAGGCGAAGGCGGGUAACUGGCCGAACACUGACACUGAGAGCCGAAAGCGUGGGGAUCAAACAGGAUUAGAAACCCUAGUAGUCC